GACCUUGUAGCUCAGUUGGCAGAGCAUUGGACUAGUAUUCCAAAGGUCGUGGGUUCAAUUCCCACCGUGGUCA